AGUAGAAUUGCUGGUUUAUGUGAUAACUUUAUGUUUAAUUUUUGAGAAACUGCCAAAAUAUUUUCCAAAGUGGAUGUACCAUUUUACAUUUCCACCAGCAAU
rnacentral:pre_miRNA from 1 species